rnacentral:rRNA from 1 species
AUUGAACGCUGGCGGCAGGCCGAACACCAGCAAGUCGAACGAGUGGAGGACGGGUGAGUAAUGUCUGGGAAACUGCACGAUGGAGGGGGAUAACUACUGGAAACGGUAGCUAAUACCGCAUACCAUCGGAUGUGCCCAGAGGGGAUGAGCUAGUAGGUGGGGUAACGGCGCACCUAGGCGAAGAUCCCUAGCUGGGCUGAGAGGAUGACCAGCCAAACUGGAACUGAGACACGGUCCAGACUCCUACGGGAGGCAGCAGGGGGGAAUAUUGCACAAUGGGUGCAAGCCGGAUGAAGCCAUGCCGCGUGUAUGAAGAAGGCAUUCGGGUUGUAAAGUACUUUCAGCGAGGAGGCGUUACUCGCAGAAGAAGCACCGGCUAACUCCGUGCUAGCAGCCGCGGUAAUAC